rnacentral:ncRNA from 1 species
UUAUUUUGAGCCGGUAUAAUAGGGAAACAGGUGAAAUGCCUGUGCGGGACCGCCGCCGUAAAGACAGAGCGUUGGUUUGUGAAUGCCACUGUAAGGGUACAUAUGGGAAGGCAAAACCAAAGCGAUGACGUCUGAGCCGGAAGACCUGCCUUUUGUUUUUA